AGCAGUCCCGCGGUAAUACGAAGGGGGCUAGCGUUGCUCGGAAUGACUGGGCGUAAAGGGCGCGUAGGCGGCGAUCAAAGUCAGGCGUGAAAUUCCUGGGCUCAACCUGGGGGCUGCGCUUGAUACUUGGUUGCUUGAGUGGGGAAGAGGGUCGUGGAAUUCCCAGUGUAGAGGUGAAAUUCGUGGAUAUUGGGAAGAACACCGGUGGCGAAGGCGGCGACCUGGUCCUUUACUGACGCUGAGGCGCAAAAGCGUGGGGAGCAAACAGGAUUAGAGACCCGUGUAGUCCCUGUCUCUUAUACA
rnacentral:rRNA from 1 species